CAAAUGCACGCAGAGUGAGGAGAGACUGAGCUCCGGGAGCCGGGUGAUGGUGAAACGGGGAAGAAUGCUCCCAGCCGCCGCUCUGCUUUGGAGACGCUGGAAACGUCUGCGCUGUGCCAGAGCGCAUGCCGCACAGGCCCGUGGGCGGCACAGGCACGUCUAAAUGCAUUACUGGGAUAAAGACAGAACAAGCCUCCUUCUCAAAACACCCAGUGAGGCUGGCCAAAGAACACAUAAGAACGUGUAAGCCUGGAGGUUGGCCACGCCAUCUGGAAAACAGACGUCCGUCUGGGCCCCAGUGCAUGCUCACUGCGGUGGGCAUGGACAGAAAGUCUUGAUUUCACAUAGCCGGGGACCUGGCUCAUAGCUCGCUCACCCGAUCCAUCACUGGAAGAAAUGGCGAGGAGACAGGCGGCAUGUGGCCGAGGAUGGCGCAGAGCUGGGAACAGGCAGAGCCUCCCAGACGCGUACGGCUGAGCCAGCCUAACAUAGCCCACCGCUGAGAUGGAUGAGAAUGACUUCCGUCUAGGCUAGGCGUAAGGUGACACUGUGAUUGGUUUCUGACCCUGGGACCGGGCAGCCAGGACACACAAAGGCUGGGCUGUCGAGCUCCAGGAUCAGAGGGUAGACAGCAUGGAACCAAGAGCAGGCC